rnacentral:rRNA from 1 species
UAACCUGCCCAAGAGAUCGGGAUAACACCUGGAAACAGAUGCUAAUACCGGAUAACAACAGAUGAUGCCUAUCAACUGUUUAAAAGAUGGUUCUGCUAUCACUCUUGGAUGGACCUGCGGUGCAUUAGCUAGUUGGUAGGGUAACGGCCUACCAAGGCGAUGAUGCAUAGCCGAGUUUAGAGACUGAUCGGCCACAUUGGGACUGAGACACGGCCCAAACUCCUACGGGAGGCAGCAGCG